rnacentral:lncRNA from 1 species
AUGGGCAAAUUGUGUUAGCUUUGUGUGUGUGUGUGUGUGAAAAAUGCUUAUACCUAAAGCACUGGAAACUCCACUGACUCAGCUCUUGAUCAAAUGCCUGCUGAAGUCUUUCCAUCUUCUUCAGCAGUGUUUGGAUCACAAUGGCAAAUGGCAAAUCCACAUAAGUGAACAUUAGGGCUCUGCAGUGUCCUGCUCUGCGUGGACAAAGCCCUAUUCUAUCUGUUCCAUUUGGAUCCAAGUUCCACCACAAGAUUUACUCCAUGCCUACACCCAUGUCACUGCCAUGACAACUGAAACUGAAUGAAAAUACACUCAGCCCAGGCUUGCCCUUCUCAGCUUGCCCUCUGCCCAUGCCCACUGCCCCCAUGCCCAGUGCUGUGAAGAGACAUGACUACAGCAGCUCCACCAUUCCUGCGUCCGGCCUCCAGCCCUUUGGGCAUGCAGGGUUGGAUGCUCACGGCUGGUGGCUGGGAGUGCUUUUGUCACAUUCAGCUUGAGCACUAAACAUAAACAGAGAGCUCCUCCUCUUUGCUCGGAUUCACUGAAAUCUUAAAACAAAACUCAGGGCAAGCUCUUCCUUCUUUAGCUAGGGCAAUGGCUGUAACGAAACAAACCACAUUUUGUUUUCUGUCAGACAGGUGUGAUGGCACACCUGCGGGGCUCAGGCCUGAAUGGCAGCAAGUAACCUCCAGUGGGUGAGGUGGGGGGCAGAUCCUGCUGAACAAGGAUGUCAGACCGAUCUUUGUUCACUUCUCCCCACCAAGUAUCUGUGGCAACAAACCGGAGACGGGUAAACAAUCAGCUUCUGCUACAACAAGCUUUCCAUUUACAGUUCACCAGGAGCUCUUAUUAUAUGAAAGGAAAGGGUGGAUGUGGUGUCAACACAAGGUAAUAGUAAUAUUAUUUGAACAGGUGUGUGGGGUGUUGCUAAAGGGAGAGUGCGGGUGAGCGGCAGGGAGCAGUCAGUGCAGGGCUGUGCAUGCAAUAACCAGAACUCACCGCGUUUAUUGCCACAACAAUCGUGUGCGGCGACAGCGGGCCGCUCCGAUUUACCCGGUGCGCUGAAGCAGAGCUGUGCUUCCUUGCUAUCUAACUCCCUCCUGAAACACAGCCUGGAAAUAUACGCACGCUGGGAACUCGGCGAGCAGCCCUGCCGUGCACGCAGCCACAGAGGCGGCCCAGCAAUUCAGGCUGUCCCCAGCCCUGGCUUCUCACAGACAGCAUUGCUGCUGGCCUGCGUCAGAGGAGAGGCGGCAGUCCUGGGAACGCUGUAUCUCUUCCAUCGAGUUUAACCUUGCGGAACACGAUGUGUAUGUUCUAUAACCGCUGCCUUUCCCCUGCUGACAUACUCCGACAUCCUCCGGCAUCCUUGGAGCCGUCCCGUCCUCUCGAGCAGCCUCAGUAGAAUGCUGCCCUCUAUUGAACGCAAGGACGCAGCGCACGUUGAAAGAUGCUGGUGAAUCCUGAGGGGCUGACGAGCGAGCGGAAAGGCAGCACCGUGUAUUACGCUAUUAAACAGUUAGGAGAGCUGUUUGGAAGAAUGUAAAUUCUCUAAAAUAUCAGUUCUCCUCUUUAUCUUGAACAAAAUGGGAAACAAACAAAAGUGCCCGACUCUUUUAAGGAAAUAUUGCAGCCAGAGAAAUUUUGUUCUCUCCAGUGCCUGCCUACAUGGAGGGGAGACCGAAUCCUGGGUCUUCACUCAAGUUACAGUCAUUUAUUUGACUGUUUGAGUAAUGAAUUUGCUGAACAUCUAGGCCUUGUGGCUGGAGGAAAACUUUUUCUCCGAGAGACCUCUGAAGGAAAGGGGUUCAAGCUGGCUCUGCACCAUAACAGAAACAUGGGUUGCUGUAGUGCACAGUAAUCCGAGGAGCCGCUGUUGUGGUGGCUGUAGGAAGCAUCGCAUCUCCGACUUGAGCAACUUACUGGGGAGAUAUGUCCCCAUCCAGAGAGAGGAGGGUGUUUCUCCAACUAUUCCUCCUUCCCGGUGGCAAGCAGCUGCAAAGAUAGGACACACUUCUGUGUGUCUUCCUUCAGGGAAAGAAUAUAAAAGAGAUCUUGUGGGAAAAGCUUUGCUGGAGGAGCUGCCGCCUCCUUUUCUUCAAUAGUGGCAUUGACAAAACCCUUCUUUCUUUCACUCCUACACACCCCUGCUUAAUGAAUCUUUCUGCUGGAGGCAAGAGGUGCAAGGGGCCAUCACACCAGGUGUUGGGACAGCAAUUGGACUGUACCAAAGGGACACCCCCAUGGGCUAGGUUUCAGUCUGUAGCACCCCAGAAGAUGCCAGCUCACACA